UAUGAACCAGGAGAUCAUGGUUCAGUUCCCGUUAGGGCACAUGAUCGGGUUGCAGGCUCAAUCCCCAGUGUGGGGCGUGCAGGAGGCAGCUGAUCAAUGAUUCUC